rfam:Oryza rufipogon genomic scaffold, chr12
AAUAAGUACAGUUUUGCACUAUUCACGUUUAACGUUUGACUGUUCGUCUUAUGUUCGUCUUAUUCGUCUUAUUUGAAAAUUUUUUAUGAUUAGUAUUUUUAUUGCUAUUAGAUGAUAAAACAUGAAUAGUACUUUAUGUAUGACUAAAUAUUUUUAAAUUUUUUAUAAAUUUUUUAAAUAAGACGAACGGUCAAACGUUGGGCACGGAUAUCUACGGCUGUACUUAUU